AAAGUCAUCUUCCAAGAAAAUGAAAGCUGAAGGGUUAGCAUGCAGAGUUACUUUAGACCGAGUUAAUCAAAUGAGUCAAUGGUCUAUCUACCCACUUGCUUCAGAUAUCUAUAAUGAUCCCCUUUUGCCUUUCUUAUCAACAAGAGAAGACAGCCUCUCGCUUCCAUGUUCCUUAACAAAGUUACCCCCCCAACAAAGCACUCCGCAUCUUUCUCUGAGUUGACAGACUUAAAGCGUUCCGACUUCCAACACCGAAGGAGUCUGUUUUCUGUAUCUGUGAUGGAUGCUUUCCUUUUCCCGAUCAGAGAGUAUAUAGGUCGGUGAUGAUUUUCUGCUUGAGAAGAUGGUUUUAAUUAGUUGUGUUGACAGAAGAUAGAGAGCACAACUGAACAUACCCAACAAAGGCUUUGUGUUUGAGCUGUUUGUGCUCUCUCUUCUUCUGUCACCAUAAUUUUCUGCUGUUUCAAACGUUAUCAUCCUCCUUGCCUCGGGGUUUUCUGUCAUAUCUCCAUGUUCUGUUAAGGUAAGAUGCAUGAAUACGUGCAGGACAUAUUCCUAUAAUUGGUUGUUCGACCUAGAUAUUUGAUUCUUGCUAUAAGGUUAAACUGCAGUUUGGAUAGUGAGAUAAGAUAAAAUAAUUUUAUAUGAAAGUUAAAUAAAAUAUUAUUAAAAUAUUAUUUUUUAAUAUUAUUAUUGUUUUAGGAUUUGAAAAUGUUAAAUUGUUAAUUAUAUUUUAUGUGAAAAUUUAAGAAAGUUGUAAUGACGAGAUGAGAUAAAACACUAUCGCUAUCCAAACAGGGCCUUAAUUAUCCUGAACUUUGUUCCGAGGUUGGAGAAACGAAGUUGGUUUCAAAACCAUGUCACAAAUUGUACUAUUUUUUUUUUUAUUUUUAAUUUCUUUUAAGUAUGAAAUUCAUGUGUCUCUGAUCUUGGGAGCCUGACGUUUAAAUACUAUGGAAUCUACAUGUAACUAUCUAUAUAUUCUAUUUCUAAAUUCAGAAGUUAUAAUUGAAGGAGAUUCUAAUCCUGUUUUGCUUC